GCAUGGCUAUUCUUGCUUAGUCCAGACAUUGACAGAUGAUUGUCUACUCACCCAGUCUUUGCUAACGCAGGAAAUGAAGACAUUCAGCUGAAGGGGAGAAAGAGGUGGAAGGCCUUUCCCUUCUGGCUCCAGUAACAAGAGCAGAGAAAGACUCAGAACCCCAGCUGGCAAGAGAGGAAGAUAAAUAAGAAAAAACAAAACACGUCCUUGCACUACAAUGGAAUGUUUUAAAGAGAGGUGGAAAAUGCAAGGUCAGGGGCAGAUCUCAUUUUCUGGCAUCUCGGUGAGCAGCUCAGGGAGGAGGUGGGAUGCUGUCGCCUGGGUGCUUCCAGGGGCAAUCAGUUUUGGAGGGAACUCAUUUCGGGGGAGCACAGGGAGGGGGUGCAUCUUAACAGCUAAAGCAUCGGUGUUGAUUUCCCUUCCAGGGAAUACUGGUUUCCCUGGUAACAGAAAAGUCUGGCCUCCAAAGUUCUGACAGGGAGACUAGGCUCUUGGCCUGGGAUGCUCCUGACAAUUAUCCGAGGCCAAGGCUUCACUGUCCUGCUUGCCCCAGCAGUGAGCUGGGAGAGAGAGGCAUAAAAGUGCCAGCUCUGCAAAAAUAUAGCCACUGCUCCCCGUCUCUCCCCCACCCGGUGCUUGUGCAAGCGGCUACUCAUCCCUAGAUUCAUCGCUUUCCAGGGCUUUAUGGCUGAGCAGGUAAAAAUGCCAGAAGCAUCUUGGAAGCAAGCCCAAUUUGACAGUACCUGUGGACCCCAGGAGGCAGUAAAGGUGCAGGAGUUGGGGACAACAGUGGGCCAUUAAGAGGGCUUUGUGCAUGGUACUCAAGCUCUGACACAGUGACGGAGAGGACCUGCAUGGGAGCAGGGCAGGUCUCAUUUUCUCUCUAUGCUUGCGGACAGUUGCUCCUAGAUGUUCCAGAUUUAAAGCUCAUUUUUCCCCCCAGGGAGAAAUAUUACAAGGUCUGGCCUGAGAAGAUGCCAUCCGUGCAUCAGGAAGACAGGCCACAGAGCAGAGACACCUGGAGGCUUCAGGACAAGGCCCCAGUCCUUGAGCCCAUUUCCAGCAGACACAGCAAUGGGGGCCACAUCCAAAGGGCCUCUGACUGCAUCUUUCAUGGUCAUGAUCCAGUGACGAGAGUGAACAGCUCAGAGGGGGUGGGGGGCUCAGAGGGGGGCAACUGA
rnacentral:lncRNA from 1 species